UCACCCUUCGAUCCAGACUCUUCUAAUGCCAAGCACAGGCUCAUAUCCAUGUACACAAAUCCUGGUAGCCCUGUGUGUGCUCCAGGGCUGUGCUGACAGACUCUGCAUGUGCUCCUCCAGACACACUCACAUGGAGGCAUUUCUCCACCCCAAGCCAUGGUGUUUGACAGGAGCUCAGUGCUCAGCUCUUGCCCAGCCCUCACUGUGGCUGACUGGGACAAACUCAAAAGCCUUUCGGGCAAUCAGGCAAUAAUAGACCUUGUGGAAGCUGAAAGUCUCCCAGAUAAAAUUUACAAGGCCUAAGAGAGCCUUCCUGGCAUAAUUUAACACUUUAGUAAUGAGCACCUGGACAGGAAGGAUUGCUUGGGUUGUUUUAUUCUGCAUAGAUGAGCAGUCAGAAUUUCAAAGAGGGGCCAUAAAUACAAGCGAGUGGAAUGGCCGACGGAGCCUGGGUUUGGUGUGGAAAGCAGUCCUGCUGAGGCUGUGAGGACAUGAAUAAAGGGGAAGGAGUUUUCAUUCAGCUUCCCAGCUCCAAAAGGCAUCCUUUAGCCAGGAAUGGCUUUAGGGAGAGCAGCAAUCCUUUUCCAGCCUGCCUGUGACUGUGCCUCAGUGCCUGUGGCCCGGCAUUUGUGGAUUUGCAGCUGCUCCCCAGGCUGCAGUACAGUGCUGAUGUCUGUUGGUGUCACACGUGUGUUUGUACCUGUGUGGCUGAGGACAGCAGUGUGCACCCCUCAGCCUCUGUGCUGUUUGCCUGGGCACGUGCACUGCUGAUAAAAGCCACCAAUAAUGCUAAUUCCUUGUGGAUGCAUUUGCAUUGCUAGUGGAGUCUGCAGCAACACACUGAAACCUCUGUGUACAGGUCUGUGCAAGUAAUACAGGUACACCUGGAUACAGUUUGUGUUUAUGUGCUGCUCAUACAGACAGUUCUAACUUGUAUCUGAGUAAAACAUGCUCAGUGUUGCUGAUUUAAACUAGUAAUGAACUAUGUCUUCCUUUUGGCAGCACAUGCUGUGUGGUUGCACACUUCUGUGAGGCCUCAGGGAGGGAAGUCAUAGCAGUCAGAGGCUGAUGCUCUCUGAGCACAGAGGGGCAUGGAAGGAAAUGUUAAGCCAGAAUGAAAGGAGACUGAAAUCACAGAAGUUGCCAUGGAGCAGUUACCCCUUCCCAUCCAGAGACCUCCAUCACUGGCAGGCGUGGUGAAAGCCGGUGGAAUGCAGCUUUACUUCAGGAGCCUCAUUAAAUUUGCAUUCCUUGGAGCCCCACAAGGAAGAUGAUGGUCUGGCUUUGUCUGCCUGGCUUCCUGUUCUCUUUGAGUGAUGCAUCAGAGAGAGCUGCUGUGCCUUUGACACAGUUGCCUGCCUACAGACACUCUCAGGUGAUGGGCCUGUUUUAUUGUGCUUUCUCUUUCUUAUUGACUUGACAAAUCUAUCUGAAAACUGGGAUGAAGGAUAUUUUUCGUAAGCAGUAACCAUCAACAGUCAAAUAAACAAGAAUAUAGGGCAAAGAACGUAGCUUAGGCUACAUUAACUCCGUUAUGCAGCCUGAUUAAAAGCCAUUCCCACCAGGUAGUUGUUUAGCAACAAUCCUGCUCU